CCUUAAUUUAGCCUAUGAUUUUAAAAGUCAUAAAUAUAAAACUUUAUUCUCAUAUUUUAACAGUUACAAUGUUUUUCUUGUAAAUUAUCGUAAUUGAAGUAAACCCACAGAUGUCUUUCCGUUCAAUAAAAUUAAACACAAAAUACUUUCUCUGCUUACAUUUUGUUUAGUUCCAUAAGAUUUAUCAAACAACUGAGUUGAUAGUCGAGUAUCUUGGUCACAAACUUGAAUUCUCCUGAUAAAGUUUAGCUAAACUGUGACAGCAUUCGUGACCUUUUUGGCCAAAAGCACAUCAUUCAGCCCGGCCUCACACCAGAGUAAUUAUUUCAACAUUACAAUAAACCCCAGUGUCAUUUUUCUUAAGCCUGAUGGCUGAAACUUCAUCAAAUCGACAGCAAUUUAAAACUCCAGCCGACUCAUCAAAGGCCCUAAUCAACAAGUGUCAGUUUGAGGUCAGGUGGCAAGCUGAGGCUUCCUGCGUCUUCUUGUUGCAUGCAGAAUAUUCUGGCCAGUGAACCUCUGGUGCCUGGCUGCUGGUCAUUAAGGGUAUUAAUGAUUAACUGAGAAUGCUAUUGUCUCCGUAGGGCCAGCUGUCCCUCUGCCGUUGAUCGACUCCGGUGCCUCUGGGACUCUGAACCAGCUCCAUUCAUGUGCUAAAGUGACAGCUGCUCCUCACAUUCCACAGAAAAUGAACUGCAGGCACCGGAAAACAAGCCGGAGAGACAGAAAUAACAUAUGACAGAUUUGUCUGUUCCUCAAUGGAUGGAUCAGUGAUGAAAGAGUGGAUCGGAAGGAUUAUUUAUAUUCAAAGAGACAGAGAGGAGGAGACCUGAAGUGUUUGUCAUCCAUUAAACCAUUUCAAUAAUAUA